rnacentral:rRNA from 1 species
GACGAACGCUGGCGGCGUGCUUAACACAUGCAAGUCGAACGGAAAGGCCCUGCUUUUGUGGGGUGCUCGAGUGGCGAACGGGUGAGUAACACGUUAGUAACCUGCCCUUGACUUUGGGAUAACUUCAGGAAACUGGGGCUAAUACCGGAUAGGAGCUCCUGCUGCAUGGUGGGGGUUGGAAAGUUUCGGCGGUUGGGGAUGGACUCGCGGCUUAUCAGCUUGUUGGUGGGGUAGUGGCUUACCAAGGCUUUGACGGGUAGCCGGCCUGAGAGGGUGACCGGCCACAUUGGGACUGCGAUACGGCCCAGACUCCUACGGGAGGCAGCAGUGGGGAAUAUUGCACAAUGGCCGGAAGCCUGAUGCAGCAACGCCGCGUGCGGGAUGACGGCCUUCGGGUUGUAAACCGCUUUCGCCUGUGACGAAGCGUGAGUGGCGGUAAUGGGUAAAGAAGCCCCGGCUAACUACGUG